rnacentral:rRNA from 1 species
GACGAGGGGUCCAAGCGUUGUUCGGAAUCAUUGGGCGUAAAGCGGGUGUAGGCGGCUCUAUAAGUCAGAAGUGAAAGCCCCGGGCUUAACCUGGGAAGUGCUUUUGAUACUGCAGAGCUUGAAUGUGGGAGAGGGUAGUGGAAUUCCAGGUGUAGUGGUGAAAUGCGUAGAUAUGUGGAGGAACACCAGUGGCGAAGGCGACUUCCUGGGCUGUAACUGACGCUGAGGCGCGAAAGCGUGGGGAGCAAACAGG